rnacentral:rRNA from 1 species
AGGACGAACGCUGGCGGCGUGCUUAACACAUGCAAGUCGAGCGGAAAGGCCCUUCGGGGGUACUCGAGCGGCGAACGGGUGAGUAACACGUGAGUAAUCUGCCCCUAGCUCUGGGAUAGCUCCGGGAAACCGGGAUUAAUACCGGAUAUGACCACUUUUAGACAUCUGCUGUGGUGGAAAGAAGUUUCGGCUAGGGAUGAGCUCGCGGCCUAUCAGCUUGUUGGUGGGGUAACGGCCUACCAAGGCGACGACGGGUA